rnacentral:miRNA from 2 species
AAGUGCAGCCAUGAGUUUCCGUGC